CGUUAGAGCAUUGAGAGGACCUUUCCCUAGUACGAGAGGACCGGGAAGGACGCGCCUCUGGUGUACCAGUUAUCGUGCCCACGGUAAACGCUGGGUAGCCAAGUGCGGAGCGGAUAACUGCUGAAAGCAUCUAAGUAGUAAGCCCACCUCAAGAUGAGUGCUCUCCUAUUCCAACUUCCCUAGAGCCUUCGGUAGCACAUCCGAGACAGCGACGGGUUCUCUGCCCCUGCGGGGAUGGAGCGACAGAAGUUUUCAGAAUUCAAGAGAAGGUCACGGUGAGACGAGCCGUUUAUCAUUACGAUAGGUGUCAAGUGGAAGUGCAGUGAUGUAUGCAGCUGAGGCAUCCUAACAGACCGG
rnacentral:ncRNA from 1 species